AACGCUGGCGGCAGGCUUAACACAUGCAAGUCGAGCGGAAACGAAGAUAGCUUGCUAUCAGGCGUCGAGCGGCGGACGGGUGAGUAAUGCUUAGGAAUCUGCCCAGUAGUGGGGGAUAGCCCGGGGAAACUCGGAUUAAUACCGCAUACGCCCUUUUGGGGAAAGCAGGGGAUCUUCGGACCUUGCGCUAUUGGAUGAGCCUAAGUCGGAUUAGCUAGUUGGUGGGGUAAAGGCUCACCAAGGCGACGAUCCGUAGCUGGUCUGAGAGGAUGAUCAGCCACAUCGGGACUGAGACACGGCCCGAACUCCUACGGGAGGCAGCAGUGGGGAAUAUUGGACAAUGGGCGCAAGCCUGAUCCAGCCAUGCCGCGUGUGUGAAGAAGGCUUUCGGGUUGUAAAGCACUUUCAGUGAGGAGGAAGGCCUCAAAGUUAAUACCUUUGAGGAUUGACGUCACUCACAGAAGAAGCACCGGCUAACUCCGUGCCAGCAGCCGCGGUAAUACGGAGGGUGCAAGCGUUAAUCGGAAUUACUGGGCGUAAAGCGCGCGUAGGUGGUUGAGUAAGCGAGAUGUGAAAGCCCCGGGCUUAACCUGGGAACGGCAUUUCGAACUGCUUGGCUAGAGUGUGGUAGAGGGUAGUGGAAAUUUCCUGUGUAGCGGUGAAAUGCCUAGAUUUAGGAAGGAACACCAGUGGCGAAGGCGGCUACCUGGACCAACACUGACACUGAGGUGCCAAA
rnacentral:rRNA from 1 species